rnacentral:rRNA from 1 species
GCCAACGUCCAUACCACGUUGAACACACCGGUUCUCGUCCGAUCACCGAAGUUAAUUAACGUCGGGCGCGGUCAGUACUUGGAUGGGUGACCGCCUGGGAACACCGCGUGAUGUUGGCUUUU